UCCUACGGGGGGCAGCAGUAGGGAAUUUUCGUCAAUGGGCGCAAGCCUGAACGAGCAAUGCCGCGUGAACGAGGAAGGUCUUCGGAUCGUAAAGUUCUGUUGAAGGGGAAAAAGAGCGGAGAGAGGAAAUGGUCUCCGAUUGAUAUUACCCUUCGAGGAAGUCACGGCUAACUACGUGCCAGCAGCCGCGGUAAUACGUAGGUGGCGAGCGUUAUCCGGAAUGAUUGGGCGUAAAGGGUGCGUAGGCGGCCUGCUAAGUCUGGAGUGAAAUGUACCGGCUCAACCGGUACAGGCUCUGGAAACUG
rnacentral:rRNA from 1 species